CUUCGUAUUUGCAAAAAUAAGAGAGAAAUAUUGGAAAAAAGGUAAAAAGCUAAUAAAACUGACAAAGAUUAUUCCUGGCAUAAGAAGAAGAAGAAAACUGAGAAUAAGAAGAUAAGGAAACA
rnacentral:lncRNA from 1 species